GACGAACGCUGGCGGCGUGCUUAACACAUGCAAGUCGAACGGAAAGGCCCUGCUUUUGUGGGGUGCUCGAGUGGCGAACGGGUGAGUAACACGUGAGUAACCUGCCCUUGACUUUGGUAUAACUUCAGGAAACUGGGGCUAAUACCGGAUAGGAGCUCCUGCUGCAUGGUGGGGGUUGGAAAGUUUCGGCGGUUGGGGAUGGACUCGCGGCUUAUCAGCUUGUUGGUGGGGGAGUGGCUUACCAAGGCUUUGACGGGUAGCCGGCCUGAGAGGGUGACCGGCCACAUUGGAACUGAGAUACGGCCCAGACUCCUACGGGAGGCAGCAGUGGGGAAUAUUGCACAAUGGGCGGAAGCCUGAUGCAGCAACGCCGCGUGCGGGAUGACGGCCUUCGGGGUGUAAACCGCUUUCGCCUGUGACGAAGCGUGAGUGACGGUAAUGGGUAAAGAAGCACCGGCUAACUACGUG
rnacentral:rRNA from 1 species